rnacentral:rRNA from 1 species
AAAGAGCUUUGCUCUUUCCGGAAUUGAGUGGCAAACGGGUGAGUAACACGUAAACAACCUGCCUUUCAGAGGGGGACAACAGUUGGAAACGACUGCUAAUACCGCAUGACACAUAGGUGUCGCAUGGCACUUAUGUCAAAGAUUUAUCGCUGAAAGAUGGCCUCGCGUCUGAUUAGCUAGUUGGUGAGGUAACGGCCCACCAAGGCGACGAUCAGUAGCCGGACUGAGAGGGUGACCGGCCACAUUGGGACUGAGACACGGCCCAAACUCC